rnacentral:rRNA from 1 species
ACUAAGCGUACACGGUGGAUGCCCUGGCAGUCAGAGGCGAUGAAGGACGUGCUAAUCUGCGAUAAGCGUCGGUAAGGUGAUAUGAACCGUUAUAACCGGCGAUUUCCGAAUGGGGAAACCCAGUGUGAUUCGUCACACUAUCAUUAACUGAAUCCAUAGGUUAAUGAGGCGAACCGGGGGAACUGAAACAUCUAAGUACCCCGAGGAAAAGAAAUCAACCGAGAUUCCCCCAGUAGCGGCGAGCGAACGGGGAGGAGCCCAGAGCCUGAAUCAGUGUGUGUGUUAGUGGAAGCGUCUGGAAAGGCGCGCGAUACAGGGUGACAGCCCCGUACACAAAAAUGCACAUGCUGUGAGCUCGAUGAGUAGGGCGGGACACGUGGUAUCCUGUCUGAAUAUGGGGGGACCAUCCUCCAAGGCUAAAUACUCCUGACUGACCGAUAGUGAACCAGUACCGUGAGGGAAAGGCGAAAAGAACCCCGGCGAGGGGAGUGAAAAAGAACCUGAAACCGUGUACGUACAAGCAGUGGGAGCCUCUUUUAUGGGGUGACUGCGUACCUUUUGUAUAAUGGGUCAGCGACUUAUAUUCUGUAGCAAGGUUAACCGAAUAGGGGAGCCGAAGGGAAACCGAGUCUUAACCGGGCGUUAAGUUGCAGGGUAUAGACCCGAAACCCGGUGAUCUAGCCAUGGGCAGGUUGAAGGUUGGGUAACACUAACUGGAGGACCGAACCGACUAAUGUUGAAAAAUUAGCGGAUGACUUGUGGCUGGGGGUGAAAGGCCAAUCAAACCGGGAGAUAGCUGGUUCUCCCCGAAAGCUAUUUAGGUAGCGCCUCGUGAAUUCAUCUCCGGGGGUAGAGCACUGUUUCGGCAAGGGGGUCAUCCCGACUUACCAACCCGAUGCAAACUGCGAAUACCGGAGAAUGUUAUCACGGGAGACACACGGCGGGUGCUAACGUCCGUCGUGAAGAGGGAAACAACCCAGACCGCCAGCUAAGGUCCCAAAGUCAUGGUUAAGUGGGAAACGAUGUGGGAAGGCCCAGACAGCCAGGAUGUUGGCUUAGAAGCAGCCAUCAUUUAAAGAAAGCGUAAUAGCUCACUGGUCGAGUCGGCCUGCGCGGAAGAUGUAACGGGGCUAAACCAUGCACCGAAGCUGCGGCAGCGACACUGUGUGUUGUUGGGUAGGGGAGCGUUCUGUAAGCCUGUGAAGGUGUGCUGUGAGGCAUGCUGGAGGUAUCAGAAGUGCGAAUGCUGACAUAAGUAACGAUAAAGCGGGUGAAAAGCCCGCUCGCCGGAAGACCAAGGGUUCCUGUCCAACGUUAAUCGGGGCAGGGUGAGUCGACCCCUAAGGCGAGGCCGAAAGGCGUAGUCGAUGGGAAACAGGUUAAUAUUCCUGUACUUGGUGUUACUGCGAAGGGGGGACGGAGAAGGCUAUGUUGGCCGGGCGACGGUUGUCCCGGUUUAAGCGUGUAGGCUGGUUUUCCAGGCAAAUCCGGAAAAUCAAGGCUGAGGCGUGAUGACGAGGCACUACGGUGCUGAAGCAACAAAUGCCCUGCUUCCAGGAAAAGCCUCUAAGCAUCAGGUAACAUCAAAUCGUACCCCAAACCGACACAGGUGGUCAGGUAGAGAAUACCAAGGCGCUUGAGAGAACUCGGGUGAAGGAACUAGGCAAAAUGGUGCCGUAACUUCGGGAGAAGGCACGCUGAUAUGUAGGUGAAGUCCCUCGCGGAUGGAGCUGAAAUCAGUCGAAGAUACCAGCUGGCUGCAACUGUUUAUUAAAAACACAGCACUGUGCAAACACGAAAGUGGACGUAUACGGUGUGACGCCUGCCCGGUGCCGGAAGGUUAAUUGAUGGGGUCAGCGCAAGCGAAGCUCUUGAUCGAAGCCCCGGUAAACGGCGGCCGUAACUAUAACGGUCCUAAGGUAGCGAAAUUCCUUGUCGGGUAAGUUCCGACCUGCACGAAUGGCGUAAUGAUGGCCAGGCUGUCUCCACCCGAGACUCAGUGAAAUUGAACUCGCUGUGAAGAUGCAGUGUACCCGCGGCAAGACGGAAAGACCCCGUGAACCUUUACUAUAGCUUGACACUGAACAUUGAGCCUUGAUGUGUAGGAUAGGUGGGAGGCUUUGAAGUGUGGACGCCAGUCUGCAUGGAGCCGACCUUGAAAUACCACCCUUUAAUGUUUGAUGUUCUAACGUGGACCCGUGAUCCGGGUUGCGGACAGUGUCUGGUGGGUAGUUUGACUGGGGCGGUCUCCUCCUAAAGAGUAACGGAGGAGCACGAAGGUUGGCUAAUCCUGGUCGGACAUCAGGAGGUUAGUGCAAUGGCAUAAGCCAGCUUGACUGCGAGCGUGACGGCGCGAGCAGGUGCGAAAGCAGGUCAUAGUGAUCCGGUGGUUCUGAAUGGAAGGGCCAUCGCUCAACGGAUAAAAGGUACUCCGGGGAUAACAGGCUGAUACCGCCCAAGAGUUCAUAUCGACGGCGGUGUUUGGCACCUCGAUGUCGGCUCAUCACAUCCUGGGGCUGAAGUAGGUCCCAAGGGUAUGGCUGUUCGCCAUUUAAAGUGGUACGCGAGCUGGGUUUAGAACGUCGUGAGACAGUUCGGUCCCUAUCUGCCGUGGGCGCUGGAGAACUGAGGGGGGCUGCUCCUAGUACGAGAGGACCGGAGUGGACGCAUCACUGGUGUUCGGGUUGUCAUGCCAAUGGCACUGCCCGGUAGCUAAAUGCGGAAGAGAUAAGUGCUGAAAGCAUCUAAGCACGAAACUUGCCCCGAGAUGAGUUCUCCCUGACCCUUUAAGGGUCCUGAAGGAACGUUGAAGACGACGACGUUGAUAGGCCGGGUGUGUAAGCGCAGCGAUGCGUUGAGCUAACCGGUACUAAUGAACCGUGAGGCUUAACC